rnacentral:rRNA from 1 species
GCUUAACACAUGCUAGUCGAGGGGUAACAUUGUAGCUUGCUACAGAUGACGACCGGCGCACGGGUGCGUAACGCGUAUACAAUCUACCUAUUACUAAGAGAUAGCCCAGAGAAAUUUGGAUUAAUAUUUUAUAGUAUUAUCGAUUGGCAUCAAUUGAUAAUUAAAGGUUACGGUAAUAGAUGAGUAUGCGUCCUAUUAGCUUGAUGGUAAGGUAACGGCUUACCAUGGCUACGAUAGGUAGGGGUCCUGAGAGGGAGAUCCCCCACACUGGUACUGAGACACGGACCAGACUCCUACGGGAGGCAGCAGUGAGGAAUAUUGGACAAUGGGAGCAAUCCUGAUCCAGCCAUGCCGCGUGCAGGAAGACUGCCCUAUGGGUUGUAAACUGCUUUUAUACAGGAAGAAAAAGGUUCACGUGUGAACUGUUGACGGUACUGUAGGAAUAAGGAUCGGCUAACUCCGUGCCAGCAGCCGCGGUAAUACGGAGGAUCCAAGCGUUAUCCGGAAUCAUUGGGUUUAAAGGGUCCGUAGGCGGGACAAUCAGUCAGUGGUGAAAGUUUGCGGCUCAACCCGUAAAAUUGCCAUUGAUACUGUUGUUCUUGAGUGCUUGUGAAGUGGUUAGAAUGAGUAGUGUAGCGGUGAAAUGCAUAGAUAUUACUCAGAAUACCGAUUGCGAAGGCAGAUCACUAACAAUUCACUGACGCUGAUGGACGAAAGCGUAGGUAGCGAACAGGAUUAGAUACCCUGGUAGUCUACGCCGUAAACGAUGGUUACUAGCUGUUCGGACUAAUUGCGGUCUGAGUGGCUAAGCGAAAGUGAUAAGUAACCCACCUGGGGAGUACGUUCGCAAGAAUGAAACUCAAAGGAAUUGACGGGGGCCCGCACAAGCGGUGGAGCAUGUGGUUUAAUUCGAUGAUACGCGAGGAACCUUACCAGGGCUUAAAUGCAGUUUGACAGGGGUGGAAACAUCUUUUUCUUCGGACAAAUUGCAAGGUGCUGCAUGGUUGUCGUCAGCUCGUGCCGUGAGGUGUCAGGUUAAGUCCUAUAACGAGCGCAACCCCUUUGUUUAGUUACCAGCAUGUAAAGAUGGGGACUCUAGACAUACUGCCAGUGUAAACUGUGAGGAAGGUGGGGAUGACGUCAAAUCAUCACGGCCCUUACGUCCUGGGCUACACACGUGCUACAAUGGUAGGGACAGAGAGCAGCCACUGGGUGACCAGGAGCGAAUCUAUAAACCCUAUCACAGUUCGGAUCGCAGUCUGCAACUCGACUGCGUGAAGCUGGAAUCGCUAGUAAUCGCAUAUCAGCCAUGAUGCGGUGAAUACGUUCCCGGGCCUUGUACACACCGCCCGUCAAGCCAUGGAAGCUGGGGGUACCUGAAGUCGGUCGCCGCAAGGAGCCGCCUAGGGUAAAACUGGUAACUGGGGCUAAGU